rnacentral:rRNA from 1 species
ACCUGCCUGUAAGACUGGGAUAACUCCGGGAAACCGGAGCUAAUACCGGAUAGUUCCUUGAACCGCAUGGUUCAAGGAUGAAAGACGGUUUCGGCUGUCACUUACAGAUGGACCCGCGGCGCAUUAGCUAGUUGGUGAGGUAACGGCUCACCAAGGCGACGAUGCGUAGCCGACCUGAGAGGGUGAUCGGCCACACUGGGACUGAGACACGGCCCAGACUCCUACGGGAGGCAGCAGUGGU